GAUGCUAAUACCGGAUAACAACACUAGACGCAUGUCUAGAGUUUAAAAGAUGGUUCUGCUAUCACUCUUGGAUGGACCUGCGGUGCAUUAGCUAGUUGGUAAGGUAACGGCUUACCAAGGCAAUGAUGCAUAGCCGAGUUGAGAGACUGAUCGGCCACAUUGGGACUGAGACACGGUCCAAACUCCUACGGGAGGCAGCAGAC
rnacentral:rRNA from 1 species